rnacentral:lncRNA from 1 species
CACAUAUAUACUAAUAAGGAAAAAAAAUUCAAAUAUUAAUUAAAAGUAUUUUUAAAACAUUUUUUUUACAAGUCUUUCAAAGGGGAAAAAGGCUCACAUUCAUUUUCUUCUACAUCAUAUUCAAACUUGUCCAAAUAAAUAAUAAAGUAUUCUCGACUCAAACAAGUUUGUCUAAGCUUCAUACAAUUAAUAUAGAACCUAUAUCCUAAUGUCACAUCCUAUCAGAGCGUUGUGUUCCCGUGUCCUCUAGCAUGAGGUUCUUCAUAGUCAUCCACCUAUUCAUCUGCUCCCCCGAACACAAGUUCAAGAUCAUCACAGGAUCCAAACACAACAACACACAGGGAGUGAGUUAUCACAUUCCUAGCUAAUAGAGAAACAAGACAAUUAAAUAUACAUAUUAUAUAAAUGAGAUACCACUUGCUUAAACAUAGUUCACGUAACUUCACCACUUCGUCAUUCAAAAUUCACUUUUUAAUCAUCAAUCACAUUACACAAGAAUCCCACACUUCGAUCAAGAUAUAAUAACACAUCAAUUAGCAAGCAUAUGCAACAGUUAUGCUAAGACUCAAUCCUAUAUGCAAUGUGGUACCAUGUCAGUGAAAAAUCACCCUGGGGCGCUUAGGAGUACAUAACAAGACACACCACACCAUGGGUUUGUCAGGUCACUCCCACUAAGUAAGAUCAUAGGGAGACCAGUCAGGGUCACGAUGCUUUGCAAGAAUACUCCAACCAUAUGGGAUCAACAUAGGCUUAAAGGAGUACUCAAACCCGGUGACCCCCAAGGCCUACACUCCGAAGAGUCCGUCAGGGCCUCUCCCUCUUGAUUCAGGUCCAACCCCUAAAACAAUUUUGCAUGCAGACACUGCUCAUGAAUUAUACAAUACCCACGACCUCACGCUCGUGUUUUAAACACGUUCAACACAAUUGUACUACGAUUUAACACUGGUUCCUAAAUAGGAAACCUACACUUUCUCUUUAACACUGGUUCCUAAUUAGGAACCUACACUUUCUCUUUAACACUGCGCAUCAACGCUUUUCUCAAGAUAACACUGGUCGGGUUAUUGUACAAUUCAUAGCUUACAACACAAGUAAUGUCACAUCAAGUGUUAACUACACACUUAUCCACAACCAAAACUCAUUCACAAUUUCACAUCUCAUAAUGUCACAAUCCACCAUCACAUGUUUACACGUAUCUCACAAAUUAACACAUGUUCAACUUUACACUUAUACUCAAUCUCAAUAACAAUAUUAUAAUCUCAAAGCAACAUGUUAUUUCACAAUUUAUCACAUAUUCCAUUUAUAAACACUGCUAGUGAAUUACACAAUACCAUGACCUUACACUCAUGUUUCAACACAUUUAACACAUUACGCUACAAUUUAACACUGGUUCCUAAAUAGGAGACCUACACAUUCUCUUUAACAUUGUGCAUAAACAAUUUUCUCAAUAUCAACAUUGGUCGGGUUAUUGUAUAAUUCACAGCUCAUAACUCAAUACACACAUCUCAAUACACAUGUAUCUCAAAUCUAAACAUAGUAUUCUCGAACUCCAACAUUUGAAUAAUUUUUGGAAUCACACAAUAACAACACUACAAUAUUAUUUACAUAAACUAUUAAUAUAAAUAAAUAUAUAACUAUAUAUAUAUAUAUAUAUAUAUAUAUAUAAAUCCAACAACGUAUAUCAUAUUUGAUCAUGAAUUUAAAGAAAGUUUUCAAUGUACCAAUUUUAAAUAAUUAUAUAAACAUUUUCUCAUAUAUAUAAGUAUACAUGAAUUCAUAUAUAUAUUAUCUAAGAAUACAACACAUAGUCUAUUAGAAUUCUUUUCUCAAUUUCAAAUAUAAUAUCAAUUUUAAACUAUAAAAAAAACUAAACAGCAUGAAAAGGAGAAAAUACAAACUCAAUAUCUCCUUACUUAAUUUCAUCAAUUCAUACUACGGUUCACACUCAAUACAAGAGCACAUUAAUUUCACAAAAAUUUCUCAUUGGGACAUCAAAUGAUUCAUCAAACAUAUAUAAUUUAUAUAUAACUCAUAGUUAUAAUUAUAAGGAUAAAGUAAAAAUUGUAGAAACACCUUAAAACUCAUCCCAAUUGAUACUCUAAGGAUCCCUACACAUGUUCUCACUAAUCCCCAAUCGUGAAUAACUCAUCCCUUACCUCUGAGCGGACUCACGUGUCUUCAGCCAAAUAGCAACAUCUCUAGUGGUUCCCGGAAAUUCUUUCAUUAUUCCUUCGACUGUUCCGAUAGAAUUCUCAAACGUCAGAGACGGAGAAGAGAUUGAAACCUCCAUUUGUACUGUCUUCAUGCGAUUCCUUUUUCUCCCUCCACGAAUAUUAUCUCGAAAAUCCCAACGGUGAAAGCGUGUGGAAUUGAAUUUCGAACAACAUAUCCAAAUUUCAUGAAAAUCCAACGGCUAACGAAACCGGGAUUGUAGUUUUACCGAGACAGUUUUGGGUUUCUGCGGGAAAUUAAAAUUCUACAAUGCGAAGGGUUUUCCUCUAAGCUCACAUAUGAUUUUGAAAUUCCCAACGGUGAGAAUGUUCGGAAUUGGGUUGCGAACAUAAUACUCAAAUUUCACGACGAUCCAACGGUGAACGGGUUCGAGAUCGUCUUUUUUCUGAGACUGGUUUGAUGGACUGCGGGAAAAAGAAAGAGUUUUGAGGAGAGAAGGGGAAAAACGAAAAUGAGGCAAAAAGGAGGCAGCUGACUUAACAUAAC